rnacentral:tRNA from 1 species
GUCGGGAUAGCUCAGCCUGGAAAAGAAAAAGACUGAAAA